rnacentral:rRNA from 1 species
AUAUCAAUAAGCGGAGGAAAAGAAACCAACAGGGAUUGCCCCAGUAACGGCGAGUGAAGCGGCAACAGCUCAAAUUUGAAAUCUGGCCCCUCGGGGUCCGAGUUGUAAUUUGUAGAGGAUGCUUUUGGUGAGGUGCCGCCCGAGUUCCCUGGAACGGGACGCCACAGAGGGUGAGAGCCCCGUCUGGCUGGCCACCGAGCCUCUGUAAAGCUCCUUCGACGAGUCGAGUAGUUUGGGAAUGCUGCUCAAAAUGGGAGGUAUAUGUCUUCUAAAGCUAAAUAUUGGCCAGAGACCGAUAGCGCACAAGUAGAGUGAUCGAAAGAUGAAAAGCACCUUGAAAAGAGGGUUAAAUAGUACGUGAAAUUGUUGAAAGGGAAGCGCUUGUGACCAGACUUGGGCGCGGCGGAUCAUCCGGGGUUCUCUCCGGUGCACUUCGCCGCGUCUAGGCCAGCAUCAGUUCGUCGCGGGGGAAAAAGGUUUCGGGAACGUGGCUCCUCCGGGAGUGUUAUAGCCCGUUGCAUAAUACCCUGCGGUGGACUGAGGACCGCGCAUCUGCAAGGAUGCUGGCGUAAUGGUCACCAGCGA